rnacentral:rRNA from 1 species
CACGUAGUUAGCCGUGGCUUAUUCAAGGGGUACCGUCUUCUACUCUUCCCCCUUAAAAGAAGUUUACAACCCGAAAGCCUUCUUCCUUCACGCGGCGUUGCUGGGUCAGACUUGCGUCCAUUGCCCAAUAUUCCCCCACUGCUGCCUCCCGUAGGAGUCUGGGCCGUAUCUCAGUCCCAAUGUGGCCGGCCAACCUCUCAGUCCGGCUACUGAUCGUCGCCUUGGUGGGCCGUUACCUCACCAACUAGCUAAUCAGACGCGAGGCCAUCUUCCAGCGAUAAAUCUUUGACAUCAAAGCCAUGCGACUUCAAUGCAUCAUGCGGUAUUAGCAGUCGUUUCCAACUGUUGUCCCCCUCUGGAAGGCAGGUUCCUCACGCGUUACUCACCAGUCCGCCACUAAGCAUUCCCAUCCGUUGUCCGAAAACUUCCUUCAGGGGGUGCUCCGUUCGACUUGCAUGUGUUAAGCACGCCGCCAGCGUUCGUCCUGACGCACGGAGUCAAACUCUA